GGAGGAUCGAAGGGGCUCACUUCAGUCCAGUCCAAGACGGUAGAAGAUGGCUGAGACUCAGCUGCUGACUCGUUGGUUCAAUAGCUCACAACAUGCAUAGUGUCAACGUGUGUGCUUCUGAUCCAACGAUGCGGGAGCUGCAUUCCAGUCGUCACUGUCAUGUCUUGGACUGAAGGGGCCUCUUCAUCGCCUCCA
rnacentral:pre_miRNA from 1 species